rnacentral:rRNA from 1 species
GGGUUGUGAGGUUAAGCGACUAAGCGUACACGGUGGAUGCCCUGGCAGUCAGAGGCGAUGAAGGGCGUGCUAAUCUGCGAUAAGCGCCGGUAAGGUGAUAUGAACCGUUAUAACCGGCGAUACCCGAAUGGGGAAACCCAGUGUGACUCGUCACACUAUCAUUAACUGAAUCCAUAGGUUAAUGAGGCGAACCGGGGGAACUGAAACAUCUAAGUACCCCGAGGAAAAGAAAUCAACCGAGAUUCCCCCAGUAGCGGCGAGCGAACGGGGAGGAGCCCAGAGCCUGAAUCAGCAUGUGUGUUAGUGGAAGCGUCUGGAAAGGCGCGCGAUACAGGGUGACAGCCCCGUACACAAAAGCGCAUGUGCUGUGAGCUCGAUGAGUAGGGCGGGACACGUGGUAUCCUGUCUGAAUAUGGGGGGACCAUCCUCCAAGGCUAAAUACUCCUGACUGACCGAUAGUGAACCAGUACCGUGAGGGAAAGGCGAAAAGAACCCCGGCGAGGGGAGUGAAAAAGAACCUGAAACCGUGUACGUACAAGCAGUGGGAGCCCCACCACUAAGCCAGUGGUGAACUCCACAUACGCAUCCUUUGCUGAGGAUACGGUUAACGGAGCGAAAGCGACGUUCAACCGCAAAAGAAGCAGAGGGGGCUUAGUGGUGGGGUGACUGCGUACCUUUUGUAUAAUGGGUCAGCGACUUAUAUUCUGUAGCAAGGUUAACCGUAUAGGGGAGCCGGAGGGAAACCGAGUCUUAACCGGGCGUUAAGUUGCAGGGUAUAGACCCGAAACC